rnacentral:lncRNA from 1 species
UUUUUCAGAAUCCUCUAUUAUUUUAGUUCUUCCACCCAUGCAAUAGAGAGGGAAUGGGAAAAGAAGGGUUACUUUUAUUUGCAUUUUUUCCUUAAAAGAUAGACUUUGAAAUAGGAGUCUUGGAAUAAUGCUGAAUUCAAAGGUUUAUUUCUUUCUAUAGUAUAAGAAAAACAAUUUAUUUCUAUUUCUAUAGUAUAAGAAAAACAAAUAGUAUAAGAAAAACAAAUCGAAUCAAAUUCAUGGAUUUACCACGACCUCGGUUGUGACUGUGACUCCAUAGAUAAAAAUGGAAAAUUUCUCUCUUCGAGACCAUUGGAAAAGGGCAUUGAACGAGAAAGAAAUCAUCCACAGAUAAUAAAACUAUCAUAUGCCUUGGAAAGUGAUAUGAGGUGCUCGGAAAUGGUUGAAGUAAUUGAAUAGGAGGAUCACUAUGACUAUAGCCCUUGGUAGAAUUCCUAAAGAAGAAAAUGAUCUAUUUGAUACUAUGGAUGACUGGUUACGAAGGGACCGUUUCAUUUUUGUAGGAUGGUCUGGCCUAUUGCUCUUUCCUUGUGCUUAUUUCGCUUUAGGGGGUUGGUUUACAUGGACAACUUUUAUAACUUCUUGGUAUACCCAUGGAUUGGCUAGUUCCUAUUUGGAAGGUUGUAAUUUCUUAACCGCAUCAGUUUCUACCCCUGCCAAUAGUUUAGCACACUCUUUGUUGCUACUAUGGGGGCCCGAAGCACAAGGAGAUUUUACUCGUUGGUGUCAAUUAGGCGGUCUAUGGACUUUUGUAGCUCUCCAUGGGGAUUUUGCACUAAUAGGUUUCAUGUUAUGCCAAUUUGAACUUGCUCGGUCUGUUCAAUUGCGGCCUUAUAAUGAAAUCUCAUUCUCUGGUCCAAUUGCUGUUUUUGUUUCUGUAUUCCUUAUUUAUCCAUUGGGGCAAUCUGGUUGGUUCUUUGCGCCGAGUUUUGGCGUAGCAGCGAUAUUUCGAUUCAUCCUUUUCUUCCAAGGAUUUCAUAAUUGGACGUUGAACCCAUUUCAUAUGAUGGGAGUUGCCGGAGUAUUAGGUGCGGCUCUGCUAUGCGCUAUUCAUGGAGCGACCGUAGAAAACACUCUAUUUGAGGACGGUGAUGGUGCAAAUACCUUCUGUCGUGGAAUUGUCACGGCAGAUGUCCUAGUGUAAGGACUUAGUCACGAGGCCAACGCAUCUAUGUGGUAGCUUGAAGGGGUUGAGCGGAAUCAAGAGAUGCAACACACAAGACGAGGAUUUAGACAGCUUCGGGCCCCGGGAAACAUCAUCCGGUAAUAACCCUACGUGCUGUUUGUGGCUAGGUCUCAUUAUGAUCAUGAGGGAGUCGCCGUAAGCCGGCUCUCCUCUUUGUGUCUAGCCCUAGAUAUUGUUUCUUGUUCCUUGUCCCUCUUUGGGGAGCCCUGCCCCUCCUUAUAUAAGUUGAAGGGGCGGCUUACAUGUAGAAUCCUAUUAGGAUUAGAACUAACUUAUUCUCUAUUACAAGUCGGAUACAAGUACGGGUCUUGCUUCCUCAUAAAGGAAAUAUUCCUCAUGCCUUCUGUCUUAAGCCGGCCCACCAUAAUAUGAGCCGGCCUACUGGGCCUUGGGCCUAGUCUUCUAUGUGACACGCCGUCGGGGUCAUCUGUGAGUCGUCUGACCAGUGAGCCGCCAGACCCGUGAGUCGCCAGUCCUCCGGCGGGUCAUCGGUGAAGCACCAAGUCCGGCCGGGUCAUACUUCCGGCCUGGUCAUACCGCGGGGUACAUCCCCGACACCUUCCGUGCUUUUAACCCAACUCAAGCUGAAGAAACUUAUUCAAUGGUCACUGCUAACCGCUUUCGGUCCCAAAUCUUUGGUGUUGCUUUUUUCCAAUAAACGUUGGUUACAUUUCUUUAUGCUAUUUGUACUUAUCACCGGUUUAUGGAUGAGUGCUAUUGGCGUAGUUGGCUUGCUCUGAACUUACGUGCCUAUGACUUUGUUUCCCAGGAAAUCCGUGCAGCGGAAGAUCCUGAAUUUGAGACUUUCUACACCAAAAAUAUUCUUUUAAA